rnacentral:rRNA from 1 species
GCUCUGGUGGCGAGUGGCGAACGGGUGAGUAAUAUAUCGGAACGUACCCUAGAGUGGGGGAUAACGUAGCGAAAGUUACGCUAAUACCGCAUACGAUCUAAGGAUGAAAGUGGGGGAUCGCAAGACCUCAUGCUCGUGGAGCGGCCGAUAUCUGAUUAGCUAGUUGGUAGGGUAAAAGCCUACCAAGGCAUCGAUCAGUAGCUGGUCUGAGAGGACGACCAGCCACACUGGAACUGAGACACGGUCCAGACUCCUACGGGAGGCAGCAGUGGGGAAUUUUGGACAAUGGGCGAAAGCCUGAUCCAGCAAUGCCGCGUGAGUGAAGAAGGCCUUCGGGUUGUAAAGCUCUUUUGUCAGGGAAGAAACGGUGAAGGCUAAUAUCCUUUGCUAAUGACGGUACCUGAAGAAUAAACACCGGCUAACUACGUGCCAGCAGCCGCGGUAAUACGUAGGGUGCAAGCGUUAAUCGGAAUUACUGGGCGUAAAGCGUGCGCAGGCGGUUUUGUAAGUCUGAUGUGAAAUCCCCGGGCUCAACCUGGGAAUUGCAUUGGAGACUGCAAGGCUAGAAUCUGGCAGAGGGGGGUAGAAUU